rnacentral:rRNA from 1 species
CAAUAGCGUAUAUUAAAGCUGUUGCGGUUAAAAAGCUCGUAGUUGGAUUUCUGUCGAGGACAACUGGUCCGCCCUCCGGGUGAGCACAUAGUUUGGUCUUGGCAUCUUGCUGGAAACUGUUGCUGCGCUUGGUUGUGUGGUGCAGCUUUCAGCACUUUCACUUUGAGGAAAUUGGAGUGUUUCAAGCAGGCACAUGCCUUUGGACACAGUAGCAUGGAAUAAUUAGAUUGGGCUUUUGCUCCAACUUGUUGGUUCCUGGAGCUGAGGUGAGAAUCAAUGGGGAUUGUUGGGGGCAUCCGAAUUUAGCCGUCAGAGGUGAAAUUCUUGGAUCUGCUAAAGACGGACAACUGCGAAAGCGUUUGCCCAGGAUGUUUUCAUUGA